rnacentral:rRNA from 1 species
UAUCGGGCUGAAGACUCUACUUGACUAGCUGAGAGGAGGCGGCAUGGCCGUCGUCAGUUCGUACUGUGAAGCAUCCUGUUAAGUCAGGCAACGAGCGAGACCCACGCCAACAGUUGCCAGCUCGUCCUCCGGGGAUGGUGGGGACACUGUUGGGACCGCCUCUGCUAAAGAGGAGGAAGGAAUGGGCAACGGUAGGUCAGCAUGCCCCGAAUUAUCUGGGCUACACGCGGGCUACAAUGGUCAGGACAAUGGGCAUCAACACCGAAAGGUGAAGGCAAUCUCUUAAACCUGUCCUUAGUUCGGAUUGUGGGCUGCAACUCGCCCACAUGAAGCUGGAAUCUGUAGUAAUCGCGUCUCAAAAUGGCGCGGUGAAUAUGUCCCUGCUCCUU